rnacentral:lncRNA from 1 species
CCAAAUUCUUAAAAAGUACAGUUUAAUAACAGAUAUGUUUUUAUAUGUUAAUAUGCAAUGAGGUAUUAUUACUUUUAACUGAAUUGAUAAACAUUAAAAAUUCCCAAUAUUAAUUUCUAAUACAAUACAUACCAAUAAAUAUAACCUACCUGAACAAAUCAACUUUCAACUUCUCCGACCCUCAUUCCUUCACUUUUCCAAAUAUCUUCCUUGUAAACCAGGAUGCUCAUAUCUGUUUGGAUGGAUGGACUCUUGGAAAUCUUGGUUUGAUGCUUGGCAUGUAGUGGGUUCAACUUCACUGUCCUGGAACUGAGGAGAGGCUUCUACACCAGAUAUACAUGUCACCAAAUUGAGAAUGAAGAGGGGGCAUCUUGGGAACUGUUCUGUCCUCUUCUGAAGAAUACACUGGAGGACGGGAGCAGCUGCUGCCUCAGGAAGCCACAGCCUCAGCUAGCUGUUCCAGGUCCACCUGCUGUUGCUCCAAUCUGUUUCAGAGGAAAUCAGGAGUUGGAGAAAAGAGCC